UCUGGUUUCUGUGGUGGUUUCGGAUGUGCGAGCAGCGGUGGCUUCGUCCCAGCUUUCAUCAUUUCCCGCGUUUUUCGCUGCUGCAAAGCCCAGCGGUGGAACGUUAUGUAUUCUUCGGCUCGUGUCGAAGAAUUGCACGAGAGCCCGAGCUGCGCGGCUGAGAUCCAAGGCUCGUUGCCGGAGAAGGCGAUGAGGAAGGAUGUGAGCCCCGGCCGGAUUCCAGUGUUCUCCAGGCGGUGGCGUUUGUAUGGACCGAGGAGCGCCCUCGCUGCCCUAAAUGCUUGCAGACCUGCCGCUCGUUCUUCAUGAAAACAAAGAGGACAAGAGCUAGAAGAGUUGGCGCGCGCCAAGUCUGGAUUUCAUUACCGCCCCUAAUGAAUCAAUAAAAGACAGGCAGUCGGGCCAGAGGCGCAUCGAACUAACGCCGACCGGGCGUAGGGCCGCAGCCGGUAUAGGAUUCGCAGGAAAUUUCUCUUAGCCCUCACUGGAUUAUGUGGGCUCCGGAGGCAAAAAUUGCUCGUACAUUCAGGAAGCUGGCCCUCUGGGUACGGUGCGCUGCAGAUAGGAGGCGUAAGAAGGAAGAGGGUAUUUUUUUUUUCUGUCGAUUGCCUUCCCAUUGCAUUUUUUUUUUCACUGACGCCGUACUCGUCUCUCACUGCUUGUUUUUUUUAUUUACUUAUUAUUCUGCCCUAAACCAUCUUCUUUCUCUUCCUUGGUCGUGUGUAUCCUUAAUGCGCACUUCCAUUUGCCGUUUCUAUUGCCUAUCUUACCAAGGCUUUCUUCAUUAUCAGCUAUUUCACAUUCACGGCUCCUCAAUUAUAGUUCGUACGGCUUUAGUUUCCAAUCCGUCAUCUGUCUGUUUUCAUUUAUUUCGCGCUAUUGUGUUCAGCGUUACAUGGAGAAUAAUUAUUCGCAAAAGAACAUUCUCAUUGGUAAGACGAAAAGUAUAGAGCACAUGCACUACUGCCACGUGUGUGAUCUCCCUAUUUUAGCUUUGUCUAACUCAGUAUUCUUUCCGAGAGGCUCGUAUUACUUUUACCGCUGUCACAGAAUACGACUAGGAUGCCUUGUCGUGUGUGUGUAGGAUCGAAGACCUGGCUUGAGCACACUUCAUUUAAUUGCCCCGCCUCAUUUACGCAAACUUCAUUUAGAUUGGGCACCAGCGCACCGCGAAAUUCACCUUAACGAAAUGAAUCGUUCACAUGCACUUGCUUCUAUGCAUGGUCAGGUGGUCUCGGUGCUUCUGACCACAAGCUGUUCAGGUGACUGGGGCUCUUUGCUUUGUCUUAGCACAGACCAAGCUCACCGCUCAAACAAUGUACAAAAUUUUUGCAACGUCGAUAUUCUUGGCACAGAGAGGGG